GAGAGACAAACAUAAUUGGGCCUAUAAGAAAAAGGGCAUCAUGCUGGAAUUCUAUGUUUUUUUACAUAUAUAUACAAGCUAUUGCUGCUGGAAAAAAAAAAUAAAAAAAAAAUAAAGAUCAAUUGGAAUUCCACCUCAAUUAGGGGACUAAUUAGGCGGCUGAAAGAGAAAUAUAUAUACAGCUUACGCACAAGAACAGAGGAGAAUUGUUGGGAAGUCAAUUUGGGGCUGACUUUCAUUCUUUUACCGACCAAUUCACGCACCGGAGCAGCCAACUGGUGGAAGGAAGGUACACGCCAAAUGUGGGAGGGAAAAAGUCAGAAAACUUGUUGGAAAAAAAAUCAACAAAGAGCACAAAAAAGGAGCGGCUGAUUGGGGAGUUAAAUUGGGCUGGAAUUAUAUAUAUAACACUGGGCUUUUGGACACGCAGACACAUAAGACAUUGGGCAGCUGAAAAAAUUGAAGGAAGUAGAAUUAUUUUACACACUUUGGUGGUUGAUUACAGAAGAGAGGCUGGUCGAUAUAUAAAUAUAUUUAUACCAACAGAGACAAGAACUUCGGUGGCUGCAAAGUGGAAAAUUAGACAGAACAAAAAGGUUGUUGCUCGUUAGAAUAAAAAGAGAAAGACGGAAUCACGUAGCUGCAAAGAUAAACGUAGAAAACGACUCAAGCAUAAUUGGAAUUAAUUACGUUCCGUCAAUUUAUUGGUGAUCUCUUUCCUCUUUUAUGUGUUUGAUUUCAACAUUAUGCUGGGCUAAGUCUUUUCAUGUAUUGGAUGGAUGACAAAAUUGUUUAAUUCUUAGUUUUAAUUCGAG
rnacentral:lncRNA from 1 species